CAUCCUGGGGCUGAAGUAGGUCCCAAGGGUAUGGCUGUUCGCCAUUUAAAGUGGUACGCGAGCUGGGUUUAGAACGUCGUGAGACAGUUCGGUCCCUAUCUGCCGUGGGCGCUGGAGAACUGAGGGGGGCUGCUCCUAGUACGAGAGGACCGGAGUGGACGCAUCACUGGUGUUCGGGUUGUCAUGCCAAUGGCACUGCCCGGUAGCUAAAUGCGGAAGAGAUAAGUGCUGAAAGCAUCUAAGCACGAAACUUGCCCCGAGAUGAGUUCUCCCUGAGACUUAGAGUCUCCUGAAGGAACGUUGAAGACGACGACGUUGAUAGGCCGGGUGUGUAAGCGCAGCGAUGCGUUGAGCUAACCGGUACUAAUGAACCGUGAGGCUUAACCUUAC
rnacentral:rRNA from 1 species